UGCCAGCAGCCGCGGUAAUACCAGCACCCCGAGUUGUCGGGACGAUUAUUGGGCCUAAAGCAUCCGUAGCCUGUUCUGCAAGUCCUCCGUUAAAUCCACCUGCUCAACGGAUGGGCUGCGGAGGAUACCGCAGAGCUAGGAGGCGGGAGAGGCAAACGGUACUCAGUGGGUAGGGGUAAAAUCCAUUGAUCUACUGAAGACCACCAGUGGCGAAGGCGGUUUGCCAGAACGCGCUCGACGGUGAGGGAUGAAAGCUGGGGGAGCAAACCGGAUUAGAUA
rnacentral:rRNA from 1 species